GGAGUUAGCCGGUGCUUCUUCUGUGAGUGAUGUCCUUCCUGCCGGUUAUUGACCCGCAGGCCUUCUUCCUCACUGAAAGUGCUUUACAACCCGAAGGCCUUCUUCACACACGCGGCAUGGCUGGAUCAGGGUUGCCCCCAUUGUCCAAUAUUCCCCACUGCUGCCUCCCGUAGGAGUCUGGGCCGUGUCUCAGUCCCAGUGUGGCUGAUCAUCCUCUCAGACCAGCUACGGAUCGUCGCCUUGGUGAGCCGUUACCUCACCAACCAGCUAAUCCGACAUAGGCUCAUCCGAUAGCGCGAGGCCCGAAGGUCCCCCGCUUUCCCCCGUAGGGCGUAUGCGGUAUUAGCCUGGGUUUCCCCCAGGUUAUCCCCCGACUACCGGGCAGAUUCCUAUGCAUUACUCACCCGUCCGCCGCUCGCCACCAGGGAGCAAGCUCCCCGUGCUGCCGCUCGACUUGCAUGUGUUAGGCCUGCCGCCAGCGUUCAAUCUGAGCCAGAAUCGAACCCUGA
rnacentral:rRNA from 1 species